rnacentral:lncRNA from 1 species
AAAAAAACAAAAAUUAGCCGGGCCUGGUGGCAGAUGCCUGUAGUCCCAGCUACUCAGGAGGCUGAGGCAGGAGAAUGGUGUGAACCCGGGAGGCAGAGCUUGCAGUGAACCAAGAUCACGCUACUGCACUCCAGCCUGGGCAACAGAGCAAGACUCCAUCUCAAAAAAAAAAAAAAAGCAGGAUAAUAUACCUUGUGGCUGAGGAUGUGAGGAAAUGCACUCCCAUACAUCCCUGAUGAACGUGUUAAUUGAUACAAUCUCCUUGGAAGGUGGCAUUGUCUGUAGUAGCUAGAAUGAAAACAAAACCUCAAUCUCUAUCAGCUGGUUAUAUACAUUAAGGAAUAUCCAUACAAUGGAAUGUAAGGCAAAAAGAAUGAAGUGAUCUAAACUUACUGUUGAGGAGCAAUAGCCAAGAAAGACAUGAAAAAACAAAGGACCUAGAAAAGCAUUAACAAAACACAUGUGUGGCUAAAUAGAGAGGAGUGGCAUACAAAGGUAAAUGUGGCUUUCUUUUUUCAAAUGCCUGAGGGUAACCACUUUGUGUGUUCCUUUCUAACAGCUUUAAGAUAUAAUUUAUAUACCAUAAAGUUCACUCAUUUAAAGUGUAUGAGCAGCAGGCAUGGUGGCUCACGCCUGUAAUCCCAGCAAUUUGGGAGGCCAAGGUGGGCAGAUCACAAGGUCAGGAGUUCAAGACCAGCCUCAACAAUAUGGUGAAACCCCAUCUCUACUAAAAAGAAAUACAAAAAUUAGUAGGGCAUGGUGGCAUGUGCCUGUAAUCCCAGCUAUUCAGGAGGCUGAGGCAGUAGAAUCGCUUGAAUCUGGAAGGCAGAGGUUGCAAUGAGCCAAUAUCGUGCCAUUGCACUCCAGCCUAGGCAACAGAGGGAGACUCUGUCUCAAAACAAAAAAGAAGAAAGAAAACAGGUGUAUGACCAGCUGGCCUGGUGGCUCACUCCUGUAAUUUCAGCAAGACUGUAAUCUAGUUUGUCUUGAUAGAUUUGCCUAUUCUGAAAAAAUUAAAAAUGGAAUCAUACAAUAUGUGACUUGCUUUUUCUUACCAUGAUCUCAAGGUUCAUCCAUGUUGUAACGUGUCAGUAUGUUUGAAAUGCUUGUUCCCCAGUGCCAUAAAGAAAUAGCACU